rnacentral:rRNA from 1 species
UACAGAGGUCUCAAGCGUUGUUCGGAUUCAUUGGGCGUAAAGGGUGCGUAGGUGGCGCGGUAAGUCGGGUGUGAAAUUUCGGAGCUUAACUCCGAAACUGCAUUCGAUACUGCCGUGCUUGAGGACUGGAGAAGAGACUGGAAUUUACGGUGUAGCAGUGAAAUGCGUAGAGAUCGUAAGGAAGACCAGUGGCGAAGGCGGGUCUCUGGACAGUUCCUGACACUGAGGCACGAAGGCCAGGGGAGCAAACGGG